rnacentral:lncRNA from 1 species
CCAGGUCGAGUCCAAGUUUUAGCAUUUUUAUCUGGGUUGUGUUUGGGUAAAAUUUUAGGCCUAUUUUUCGGGUCGGGCAAAGCCUGAACCUAGCAAACGGGCCUAAAUUUUUAGUACAAUACAUGCCCUUUAGUGUAUUGAUACAAGGAAUCACUAUAGCUCAUUAUUUGAAUUUUUGACACUUGUAUUGGUAUAAAUGUCCUAGGUAUCAGUACCUG